rnacentral:lncRNA from 1 species
GAGUAAAAGCUUACUCAUGAUAUAUAUCAUCUUUUAGAUAUUUUAACUUUUUCCCAACCACAAUUUUACACAAGAAACGAGAAUUUUCUUUUCCUUUUCAACCCAAUCUUUUUCCAACAACAACGUCAAAACUAAAACUCUACAAAUGCUACUCGAAAUAAUCUAAGCUCGAGAAAUGCUCGACGACAAAGAUCAAAAUGCGCAGCAAAGAUGAAUGCAUGAAUGGAAGCGAUUUAUAAAGUUCUUAUCUAGUAUCUGUAAGAACCAGACUGUGGUGGUGCUGGUGGCAACCUAGUCGGUGUCCUACGGCUGCUGGAGCUUGAA